UACGUAGGGUGCAAGCGUUAAUCGGAAUUACUGGGCGUAAAGCGUGCGCAGGCGGCUCUGCAAGACAGAUGUGAAAUCCCCGGGCUCAACCUGGGAACUGCAUUUGUGACUGCAAGGCUGGAGUGCGGCAGAGGGGGAUGGAAUUCCGCGUGUAGCAGUGAAAUGCGUAGAUAUGCGGAGGAACACCGAUGGCGAAGGCAAUCCCCUGGGCCUGCACUGACGCUCAUGCACGAAAGCGUGGGGAGCAAACAGG
rnacentral:rRNA from 1 species